rnacentral:tRNA from 37 species
GCGGUCGUGGCGGAAUUGGUAGACGCGCAGCGUUGAGGUCGCUGUGCCGCAAGGCGUGGAAGUUCGAGUCUUCUCGACCGCACCA